rnacentral:rRNA from 1 species
CUACGGGGGGCUGCAGUGAGGAAUAUUGCACAAUGGGGGAAACCCUGAUGCAGCAACGCCGCGUGGAGGAUGACGCAUUUCGGUGUGUAAACUCCUUUUAUAUGUCAAGAAAAUGACGGUAGCAUAUGAAUAAGCACCGGCUAACUCCGUGCCAGCAGCCGCGGUAAUACGGAGGGUGCAAGCGUUAUUCGGAAUCACUGGGCGUAAAGGACGCGUAGGCGGGUUUGCAAGUCAGGUGUGAAAUCCUAUGGCUCAACCAUAGAACUGCACUUGAAACUGCGAACCUAGAGUAUGGAAGGGGCAGAUGGAAUUAGUGGUGUAGGGGUAAAAUCCGUAGAUAUCACUAGGAAUACCAAAAGCGAAGGCGACCUGCUGGGACAUUACUGACGCUAAGGCGUGAAAGCGUGGGGAGCAAACAGGAUUAGAUACCCCUGUAGUC